rnacentral:rRNA from 1 species
UUGUGUCUCAUCAUCAGAGACAAGCCUGUAUUGACAUCUGACCUCAAUCAGG